GGGGACGACUGGUUUUGACAGCAAGAUUAGUUAAAAUGUAAGCAUACCGAGGAGUGAAAUGACAACUCGUUAAACUUAUUUCAACUUUUUUAAACGGCGAAAAUAAUUACGCUUUAGCUGCCUAAUCUGAAUUAUAGUAAGAUUUGCCUCGGUACACAAGGUGUACAAGCUAAAUGUCCACGAAAAAACAUAGAAGCCUUAGUACUUCGAUAAGCCUUCGAAAUUUAAGAAGUUAAGCCUAAAAUCGGUUGUCUUUAACCAGUUUUAUGUCGAAAAUUAAGAAAAGACUAAGUAUGUAGAAAGCCUUUUGGCUACUUGUUUGGACCCGA
rnacentral:tmRNA from 1 species